GGGGAAUAUUGCGCAAUGGGGGAAACCCUGACGCAGCAACGCCGCGUGGGUGAUGAAGGUUUUCGGAUCGUAAAACCCUGUUUUCUGGGACGAUAAUGACGGUACCAGAUGAGGAAGCCACGGCUAACUACGUGCCAGCAGCCGCGGUAAUACGUAGGUGGCAAGCGUUGUCCGGAUUUACUGGGCGUAAAGGGUGCGUAGGCGGAUGCUUAAGUGAGAUGUGAAAUACCUAGGCUUAACUUAGGGGCUGCAUUUCAAACUGGGCAUCUAGAGUACAGGAGAGGGAAACGGAAUUCCUAGUGUAGCGGUGAAAUGCGUAGAGAUUAGGAAGAACACCAGUGGCGAAGGCGGUUUCCUGGACUGAAACUGACGCUGAGGCACGAAAGCGUGGGUAGCAAAC
rnacentral:rRNA from 1 species